ACCGGCGGAGGAGAUCUCGCCACACACCCUUCAGUGUUCCUCCGGGAAAAGGAAUCCACCAUGGAUAAGCGGAUAUUAAUCCUGGUUCUUUUAGUGUCCUCGCUGUGCAUUGUUGCUGAUGCUGUUAAGAAGGGUCCUGCAGGCGGAAAAAGUGGCCCAAGCCGUCCGCCAGGGAGUAAAGGAAAGCGCUCAGUUUCUUACGAAGGCCUGGAGGGGAAUUCACUUUACCACAGGUGAUCACGGCUCGGCGUGAGGCUCAUCGGCACAGCGCUCAGUCGUUCGGUCUCGGCGAGCAACUGGCGAUGUCACGAUUUGAGAAAUAAAGGUUGAUAUCAGU